AUACGGGGGGUGCGAAGCGUUGUUCGGAAUUAUUGGGCGUAAAGAGCGUGUAGGCGGCUGAAUAAGUCAGAUGUGAAAUCCCUGGGCUUAACCCAGGACGUGCAUUUGAAACUAUUCGGCUUGAGUAAGGGAGAGGAAAGUGGAAUUCCUGGUGUAGAGGUGAAAUUCGUAGAUAUCAGGAGGAACACCGGUGGCGAAGGCGACUUUCUGGCCCUAUACUGACGCUGAGACGCGAGAGCGUGGGUAGC
rnacentral:rRNA from 1 species